rnacentral:rRNA from 1 species
GAUGAACGCUAGCUACAGGCUUAACACAUGCGAGUCGAGGGGAAACGACAUCGAAAGCUUGCUUUUGAUGGGCGUCGACCGGCGCACGGGUGAGUAACGCGUAUCCAACCUGCCCAUCACUUGGGGAUAACCUUGCGAAAGUAAGACUAAUACCCAAUGAUAUCUCUAGAAGACAUCUGAAAGAGAUUAAAGAUUUAUCGGUGAUGGAUGGGGAUGCGUCUGAUUAGCUUGUUGGCGGGGUAACGGCCCACCAAGGCAACGAUCAGUAGGGGUUCUGAGAGGAAGGUCCCCCACAUUGGAACUGAGACACGGUCCAAACUCCUACGGGAGGCAGCAGUGAGGAAUAUUGGUCAAUGGGCGAGAGCCUGAACCAGCCAAGUAGCGUGCAGGAAGACGGCCCUAUGGGUUGUAAACUGCUUUUAUAAGGGAAUAAAGUGAGAGUCGUGACUCUUUUUGUAUGUACCUUAUGAAUAAGGACCGGCUAAUUCCGUG